rnacentral:rRNA from 1 species
GAUUAACGCUGGCGGCGUGCAUAACACAUGCAAGUCGAACGAUGAAACUUUACUGACUUCUUCGGAAUGAUUUAAAGCGGAUUAGUGGCGAACGGGUGAGUAACGCGUGAGUAACCUGCCUUACACAAGGGGAUAGCCUCUGGAAACGGAGAAUAAUACCCUAUGAAACCAGACAAUCGCAUGAUAAUCUGGUCAAAAUGUUUAGUGGUGUAAGAUGGACUUGCGUCUGAUUAGCUAGUUGGUGAGAUAAAAGCUCACCAAGGCAACGAUCAGUAGCCGGCUUGAGAGAGUGUACGGCCACAUUGGGACUGAGACACGGCCCAGACUCCUACGGGAGGCAGCAGUGGGGAAUUUUGCACAAUGGGGGGAACCCUGAUGCAGCGACGCCGCGUGAUUUAGAAGGCCUUCGGGUUGUAAAAAUCUUUUGUAUAGGAAGAAAAUGACAGUACUAUACGAAUAAGGUCCGGCUAAUUACGUG